rnacentral:rRNA from 1 species
UACGAAGGGGGCUAGCGUUGUUCGGAAUCACUGGGCGUAAAGCGCGCGUAGGCGGAUCGUUAAGUCAGGGGUGAAAUCCCGAGGCUCAACCUCGGAACUGCCUUUGAUACUGGCGAUCUGGAGUCCGGGAGAGGUGAGUGGAACUCCUAGUGUAGAGGUGAAAUCGUAGAUAUUAGGGAAGAACACCAGUGGCGAAGGCGCUCACUGGCCCGGUACUGACGCUGAUGCGCGAAAGCGUGGGGAGCAACAGG